GACGAACGCUGGCGGCGUGCCUAAUACAUGCAAGUAGAACGCCGAAGGAGGAGCUUGCUUCUCCGGAUGAGUUGCGAACGGGUGAGUAACGCGUAGGUAACCUGCCUGGUAGCGGGGGAUAACUAUUGGAAACGAUAGCUAAUACCGCAUAACAGUAGAUGUUGCAUGACAUUUGCUUAAAAGGUGCAAUUGCAUCACUACCAGAUGGACCUGCGUUGUAUUAGCUAGUUGGUGAGGUAACGGCUCACCAAGGCGACGAUACAUAGCCGACCUGAGAGGGUGAUCGGCCACACUGGGACUGAGACACGGCCCAGACUCCUACGGGAGGCAGCAGUAGGGAAUCUUCGGCAAUGGACGGAAGUCUGACCGAGCAACGCCGCGUGAGUGAAGAAGGUUUUCGGAUCGUAAAGCUCUGUUGUAAGAGAAGAACGAGUGUGAGAGUGGAAAGUUCACACUGUGACGGUACCUUACCAGAAAGGGACGGCUAACUACGU
rnacentral:rRNA from 1 species